rnacentral:rRNA from 1 species
UGGGGAAUAUUGGACAAUGGGCGAAAGCCUGAUCCAGCGACGCCGCGUGAGUGAUGAAGGCCUUAGGGUUGUAAAGCUCUUUUAAUAGGGAAGAUAAUGACGGUACCUAUAGAAAAAGCCCCGGCAAACUUCGUGCCAGCAGCCGCGGUAAUACGAAGGGGGCUAGCGUUACUCGGAAUUACUGGGCGUAAAGCGUGCGUAGGCGGUUUGGAAAGUUGGAAGUGAAAGCCUGAGGCUCAACCUCAGAAUUGCUUUCAAAACUACCUUACUAGAGUAUCAGAGGGGAUAGCGGAAUUCCUAGUGUAGAGGUGAAAUUCGUAGAUAUUAGGAGGAACACCGGAGGCGAAAGCGGUUAUCUGGCUGAAUACUGACGCUGUUGCACGAAAGCGUGGGGAGCAAA